GUGGAGGUUGGAAUCCCUGGCUUCAGAAUGAACGGCUGGCGGGCAGGCUUGAACACAUGCUAAGUCGAGCGGGAAAGGAUUGACUUGGUACCUGACCUAGCAGCAGAACGGGUGAGUAAUGCUUAAGAAAUCUGCAUAUUAGUGGGGGACAACAGUUCCGAAAGGAACGCUAAUACCGCAUACGCCCUACGGAGAGAAAGCAGAGGAUCUUCGGACCCUUGCGCUAAUAGAUGAGCGUAAGUCGGAUUAGCUAGUUGGUGGGGUAAAGGCCUACCAAGGCGACGAUCUGUAGCGGGUCUGAGAGGAUGAUCCGCCACACUGGGACUGAGACACGGCCCAGACUCCUACGGGAGGCAGCAGUGGGGAAUAUUGGACAAUGGGCGGAAGCCUGAUCCAGCCAUGCCGCGUGUGUGAAGAAGGCCUUUUGGUUGUAAAGCACUUUAAGCGAGGAGGAGGCUCCUUUAGUUAAUACCUAAAGUGAGUGGACGUUACUCGCAGAAUAAGCACCGGCUAACUCUGUGCCAGCAGCCGCGGUAAUACAGAGGGUGCGAGCGUUAAUCGGAUUUACUGGGCGUAAAGCGUGCGUAGGCGGCUUUUUAAGUCGGAUGUGAAAUCCCUGAGCUUAACUUAGGAAUUGCAUUCGAUACUGGAAAGCUAGAGUAUGGGAGAGGAUGGUAGAAUUCCAGGUGUAGCGGUGAAAUGCGUAGAGAUCUGGAGGAAUACCGAUGGCGAAGGCAGCCAUCUGGCCUAAUACUGACGCUGAGGUACGAAAGCAUGGGGAGCAAACAGGAUUAGAUACCCUGGUAGUCCAUGCCGUAAACGAUGUCUUUCUAGCCGUUGGGGCCUUUGAGGCUUUAGUGGCGCAGCUAACGCGAUAAAGUAGACCCGCCUGGAGAAGUCGUGA
rnacentral:rRNA from 1 species